rnacentral:rRNA from 1 species
AGAACGAACGCUGGCGGCAUGCCUAAUACAUGCAAGUCGAACGAACUCUUCGGAGUUAGUGGCGCACGGGUGCGUAACGCGUGGGAAUCUGCCCCUUGGUUCGGAAUAACAGUUGGAAACGACUGCUAAUACCGGAUGAUGACGAAAGUCCAAAGAUUUAUCGCCAAGGGAUGAGCCCGCGUAGGAUUAGCUAGUUGGUGAGGUAAAGGCUCACCAAGGCAACGAUCCUUAGCUGGUCUGAGAGGAUGAUCAGCCACACUGGGACUGAGACACGGCCCAGACUCCUACGGGAGGCAGCAGUAGGGAAUAUGGACAAUGGGCGAAAGCCUGAUCCAGCAAUGCCGCGUGAGUGAUGAAGGCCUUAAGGGUUGUAAAGCUUCUUUACCCGAGAUGAUAAUGACAGUAGUCGGGAAGAAGUAACGCCCCGGACUAACCGUCCCGGCGACCCAGCCACGGCCCGAC